GCUGGCCGCUGCCGGGUGCUGGGUGCGCGGCGUCCCGUGUACCGUGUGUUCCGCCUUUCUGUUCCAGACCCUGUCUUUUUCUUUUCACAUGUAUCCUUUAGUUUCCCGCUGACCGCACCAGCCGGGGCUGGUCUCAGGUACCUCUCCUCCCCCCAUCCCUCUUAUGGGGGCCGUCCGCUCAGGCGCCAGCUGGCGUGACGAUGUGGUGUCCGUGUGCUUACGCGACUUGUCCCCGGGAUGUGGGAGCUGGAAGGGAUAGAGAGGUCGCCGGCCCCGGCCUGGGAUCCCGGCACCAUCUCGCUCUACUCUCCGUCCUUCUGCCUGCGGCCGCGCGCACCCUCCUUUCCUCCUUCCCUUCUCGACCACGACCUCAGAUCAGAUGUGGCGACCCGCUGAAUUUAAGCAUAUUACUCAGCGGAGGAAAAGAAACUAACCCGGAUUCCCUCUGUAAUGGGGAGUGAACAGGGAAGAACCCAGCGCCGAAUCCCCGCUGCGUGCCGUGGCGCGUGAAAUGUGGCGUACGGAAGACCCACUCCCCGGCGCCGCUCAUGGGGGCCUAAGUCCUUCUGAUUGAGGCCCAGCCCUUGGAUGGUGUGAGGCCAAUAGCGGGCCCAGGCGUGCCAGGCCUGGAUCUUCCAGGAGUCGGGUUGCUUCGUAAUGCAGCCCAAAGCGGGUGGUAAACUCCUUUUAAGGCUAAAUACCGGCGGGAGACCGAUAGCCAACAAGUACUGUAAGGAAAAGUUGAAAAGAACAUUGAAGAGAGAGUUCAAGAGGGCGUGAAGCCAUUAAGAGGUGAACACUUUCCAGGCCAUUCUGGCAUCCGAUGAAUGUGAUUCCUAUGCCCUCUUUCUCUAUCCUCCCAAUGGUCUUCAGUUUUUGGAACUCACCCCAAAGAAUCCUACAUUGUCCAGCCGCAGCUUCCUGUUAAGGUGGGAUUCUGCCAAGGGGAAGCAGAUGAUGUGAAGAGAAAAGCCCUGUAUUUCAGCCUGACUAACAGUGAGCAGUCGGUGAAGAAUCUCUACCAGUAGAAAGCCUCUUCGGGACCCUGAAUAACUGGGUCCCCACUGGCGGGGAAAAGUGGCGCCCGAACAGGGACCCGGAAGCGAGGCCGACUACAGGACGAAGGAGAUAAGAGAGCUGCAGCGGGAAUCAAGGACUCUUCAGGCCGCAUUGCUCGUGCAUCGCUGGAGAGGGAGGUAAGGACCGGUCAAAUAAUUGUCGUCUAAUUGCCAUGGGGAAGGUAUGGAUUUAGGAGGCUUGUUUCAUAGGAGAGAUCAAGCGCUCACUCAGGGAGAGAGGAUUAAGAGUUAAGAAAAAGGAUUUAAUCAAGUUUUUUUGUUUUAUUGAUGAAAGGUGUCCCUGGUUAAUUUUAAGCAGUGUGGGGCUAGCUUAAGUAAAACUUGUAAUAAAAAAGGGACAAGGUAAUGGUAAAGUGUUUUUGCAUAUGCGUUCUUUUAGAGUUAUAUUUUAGUCUUUGGAACCUGACUAGAGAUAGUUUACACCCUAGACAUGAGAGAGAAUGGGUUUGGGAAAAACAGUCCUCCCGGACUCUCCACGGAUGCUUUGGAGAAAUAGAAAAACUUUUCGGGGCUCUCCUGGGAACAGAAGAAAGGCAGGAGACAUCCUGCCUCUCUGCUGGCUCCUAUUGGAGAAAUGCUUAUUUCUGGUUCUGGGUUCCAUAGGUAGGAUAUGUGGGUCCCUUUGGGUGGGACACCAUCUAGUUUUUUCCCUCUAUGUCUAUUGUGUGUCCUUAGUGCACCAAGCUAUUCAUGUCUGUCAGUUUAUGUCUGUGAUUUUUGUUUCUCGUUGUUUAAAUGUUUUAUGUUUCGUGUUCAAAAGAAAAAAUGGUAAAAACUUUAUCUGCCAGUCGUUCACACCUUGACUUGGUUUUACCUCGUUUCAAGAAGAGAACAAUAAAUAAAAAACAGUUUCAAUUGGCUUUUGGAACCUACAUCUGUAGCUAGAAGCCUAAGUCUGCUGGACAUGUAUAGCCACUUCAAUUUUGUUUCUGAUUGGUUUUAAAUGUAUAAAUAUGCUCUACAUGCCUUGGUUAUGUACUAUUGGCUUUUAAGUUAUUAGAUAUGGUUAAAAAGGUGUAACAUUGGUAACAGAAAGUUGGCUUAAAAUUAUAAUUUAGAUGAAGUCAUUCUAGAUAACAUGUGACAUGGGCCUGGUUGCCUUGUCACUGUUUGGCCUUAGCCUUAGAUUGUAGGAUCAAAAACCUCUCCCUGUAAUUUACCGCACAAGAAGUUUACAUUCAUGGAAUGUUUUCAGCCACAACAAGACACUUCUGGGUCUCCAACAAGGUUUGACCCCUGCUGAGCCCUGCCCUUGCAUGUGGAAGCUUUUUGUUCCCAACUGGCAGUCUGGCCAGGUACUUCUCACCUGAGUCAGAAUUAGGCUGGCCUUCCUGGUUAUUUCCCUAAUUUAUUCAGGCCCUUUGUUACCGAAGUCUCAGCCAGGGUUCCCCACUGUGCUUCGCAGAUACCUGCUAAGUGCUGUACUUUAGAUAUAUAGUUUGGUCCAUAAAGAAACCAGAGGCCUUUUCCUCUUCUGGCUUGACAGGAAGAAAAAAAAAAAGAAAAAAAAAUCAAACAGGUAGAGAUUGUUACAAGAAUUACGAAAGAUUGAUGAGGUUUUAGAACUUGUGAGAGCAUUACAGCCAGUUUGCUUACUCCAACUGCCAUUUCAAGAUAGAUUUAGAGGACUGAUUUUAUACAAUUUGUUUACGUCCUGGCCAUUGUGAGUUUUCAUUUCGUGAGCUUGCUUAUAAUUUUAGAGAGCCCACAAAGUGAUAUCAUUAAAAAUUUUACAAAAGAAUGGCUAAUAGCCUUAUAUUAUGUAAUUUUGUCGCUUCUUCAAUGUAAGAAGUUAGAACUUUAAAUCUUUAAGUGUAUAUAGACAUUUUUACUACAAACUUUUGCUCUCUAAAUGAGCUUUAAUAUUUGGGGAGUAGCUGUUAGACUACUCCAGAAAAGAGUAUUUAAAACUAAUUUUAAGCUACUAAGGAUAUGUUAGUUGGCUAUGUACCUCACCUUACCAGAGGACUUAGGUCUUUGUUUGUUAUCCUUAUUGGAGAUAAAGCUUCAGUUGUGUUAAUACAGAAUUGUAGGCUACAGUCAUGGAAGUAUUUUAAAAAGCCAAACAACAGUUAAUUGGUUAUUACAAAAUACUUAUAUUUGGCCUAUUACAUAUACAAAUUUUUCAGGCAAAAUUGAUAAUUUUACUCUUUACAUGCUUUUGUAUUUCCUAUAAAUUUGUACAUGCAACCCAUAGGAAAUGAGCUUCCUAUAUUUAUAGGUUUAGGGUUAGAGGUGGUUCAUCUAAUGAAAAGGCUACAUGUAUGAUUGGAUCACUUGUUUAUUCUCUUGAGUUUCUGCUGCUUCAGCACAGAUUAUUAAAUUCCUGGCUUUAGCCACUGUUUUUAUAAUGUUAAAAAAAAAAAACAAGCUUUCAAUUCAUAUACUGAUAGCCAAUUUGCUCCUUGUGGUUUACAAUUGAUUUCAAUUACUUAAUGCUUUAUUAAAGGCAGGUUUUCUACAUAAAAUCAGUGAGUGAUUUCAGUGUGACUGUCUGACAACUCACUGUCCUUUCAGUGCUCUGGCUCAGACAACUAAACAAAACCAUAGACCAAGCUCUUUGAAAAUGAUAAUGGAGUUGAUAACACUCCCUCACAAAUAGAGGAAGACUCCAUUUGCUUAAUUUCAACUCCCAGCCUCACCUUGCCGGCUCAGGGAUUUCUAGUACAGUAUUUAUAGGAUUUGGCAUCUCUAAUUAAUUCUUAUGUUUAGGUAAAUAAAGCUGGUGAGGGGCUGGAGAGAUGGCUUAGUGGUUAAGAGCACUAAGUACUGUUCCUUUAUAGGCCAUUUAAGAGCUCAGACUGGAUUGCCUAGACCCCUUAACAAGGGAGGACAAUGAUACCAGACAGAUUAUAGGCCUUACAUAGGAACAGUUAGUCAAAAAAUCUCAUUCUUUAUAUAUCCAAAACAGUAAUGCUGGAGACAAUAAUUUGGUAUAAAAGUCAAUUUAUAAAUACAAGUGCUCAGUGUCCUCAAUUUAAUCCUCAAGGACUUAUCUUAAUAAAUAAUAUUUUAACAAUAUUUUAGUAAAUAAAAAGGGGGAGUUAUCCCUGUAUGCUAAAAUAUGCUCCUUUUAUUUCAAUUUUAAAAUUUGGAUGCCAAGAAACACUCUGAGUUUAUGGCACCCUACAACUAAGCAUACUUCUGCCAAGGUGAAAUAGAAAGAUCCACACAUUGGCAUGAUCCUGUUCAGAUAUUUUAUAUGGGGAAGAGGGAAUCUUUGUGUUUUUUCUACAGGAUGCUACAGGAGUGUGCCAGCUGCCCGAGUGGCUGGUGAGACUUACUGAUCCUGGUAGCAUGAAGACUCAGCUCUCCUGGUUCGGGUCCCUGGAGUCAUUCCUGUGUCCUUGGAGGAAUAUGGAGGAUUCCCACUCAUCUUUUGUCAUCACAGAAAUUCUGGCGUUGCUGCAGUCAUUGUGUCCCGUCCCACCACAGCCUGCGCUCCGACCCUCUGUGCACUGUUGCUUGGUGGAAGCUGCUGUGGACUGGGGAACUCUGCCCUGGUUUUGCAGAUCUCAGACAUCGUUCCAUUGCCUGCUGGUUGUUCCAGAGAAGAAUGACCGAUCCUGAACUGAACUGGGAAAGACCUUGGCAUUUCUGCUGCUAUUGUAGCAGCCAUUACUGCUGCAGCCAUUGUGUCUGCAGUGUCUGGAGCUACCCUCCCCCAAUCAAUUGUUAGGCAAGCACAGUGGGUGAACUUUCUGGAGUAGUUGCUAACAAUUGGGAAUUCUAAAUUUUAUUACAGGAGAGGCUUGACUAGGUCCUUGGUGGUAUGGCCAUAGCAGCUGAGGAGAACCAGAUGAUGUGCCCACUACUUAUCGGGAGAGGCUCAAUUUCCACAAUCUUUUAUAUUAAUGCCAUCUGGCUCCUGCUCCUUUGCCCCUGGGCUCAAUCAAGUAAGAGGAAUGAGAAGAUGAUCCAAUGUAGCUUUCCUCAGUGACGGGCAACUUCCUCUGACCCUUGACCAAUCUAGACAUGGAGCGUUGAGGGCGACAAGGUGGUCCUAUGACAGAGAGGCUGGGGUUUGAGAGGUCGAUCCUAAGACAGAGGUGGCUACACCCCGUUUAAACGUGCGGGCCGGUCAAAUGCUCCUCUGCCCAGUUUCUCCCCCAAUAACACACACGUAUAGCCCAGAACGGUGUGUUACAGCAUAAGUUCAUUCCUAGCCAUUGGGGUGCAGUCCUAACUGCAAGAGUGGCUCACCAUGGCCGGGCUGGGCACUCUGUGAGGCAUGUCUGAUCUCUCUCAGACCACUAUUUCCACCUAAUGGUUUUUUUAAAAGAAAAAUGGGGGAGAUGCACGGAGCCAUAUUGGAUUUGGGCCUAGCCGCUUUUUGACUGCAUGGUUCAAAGUGACUAGGUAACUCUGGGCUGUUUGGCCACAGAGACUCACCCCUAAGAUGACUGCAUUAAGUCUUAAGAUUGUUGAAUGAAAGCCUCUCCCAUGAAUUUACGGCACAGGAAGAUAACAUUCAAGGGAUGCCUCAGCUCCCUUAGCAGAUACCUGUUACCUCCUGAAUCAACACCCAGUGUCUCCACCGCCUGACCUCAUCGUCUACCGCCUGACCUCUUUGCCUCCAGCUAUCACUGCCUAUACCCUCAUCUCCCCCCCUCCUUCAUAUUUCACAAAGGUCACUCCCCCUACCUGAAAGCCUUAAAAGCUGUAACGUUCAUCCCAAUAAACGAGACCUUGACAACAGAA